rnacentral:rRNA from 1 species
UGGGGAAUAUUGCACAAUGGGCGCAAGCCUGAUGCAGCCAUGCCGCGUGUGUGAAGAAGGCCUUCGGGUUGUAAAGCACUUUCAGCGGGGAGGAAGGCGAUAAGGUUAAUAACCUCAUCGAUUGACGUGACCCGCAGAAGAAGCACCGGCUAACUCCGUGCCAGCAGCCGCGGUAAUACGGAGGGUGCAAGCGUUAAUCGGAAUUACUGGGCGUAAAGCGCACGCAGGCGGUCUGUCAAGUCGGAUGUGAAAUCCCCGGGCUCAACCUGGGAACUGCAUUCGAAACUGGCAGGCUAGAGUCUUGUAGAGGGGGGUAGAAUUCCAGGUGUAGCGGUGUAAUGCGUAGAGAUCUGGAGGAAUACCGGUGGCGAAGGCGGCCCCCUGGACAAAGACUGACGCUCAGGUGCGAAAGCGUGGGGAGCAAACAGG